UACGAAGGGGGCUAGCGUUGCUCGGAAUUACGGGGCGUAAAGCGCACGUAGGCGGCUCUUUAAGUCGGGGGUGAAAUCCUGGAGCUCAACUCCAGAACUGCCUUCGAUACUGUAGAGCUUGAGUUCGGGAGAGGUGAGUGGAACUGCGAGUGUAGAGGUGAAAUUCGUAGAUAUUCGCAAGAACACCAGUGGCGAAGGCGGCUCACUGGCCCGAUACUGACGCUGAGGUGCGAAAGCGUGGGGAGCAAACAGG
rnacentral:rRNA from 1 species